rnacentral:rRNA from 1 species
CUCUUCGAGAAGGCCGUGACCCCAAGCGAUGUCGGCAAGCUCAAUCGCCUCGUGGUGCCGAAGCAACACGCCGAGAAGCACUUCCCUCUGAAGCGCACCCCGGAGAGGACGACCACCACCGGCAACGGCGUGCUGCUCAACUUUGAGGACGGUGAGGGGAAGGUGUGGAGGUUCCGGUACUCGUAUUGGAACAGCAGCCAGAGCUACGUGCUCACAAAGGGCUGGAGUCGCUUCGUCCGGGAGAAGGGCCUCGCUGCCGGCGACUCCAUCAUCUUCUCGUGCUCGGCGUACGGCCAGGAGAAGCAGCUCUUCAUCGACUGCAAGAAGAAUACGACCGUCAACAGCGGCAAAUCGGCGUCGCCGCUGCCAGUGGUGGAGACUGCCAAAGGAGAACAAGUCCGCGUCGUUAGGCUGUUCGGUGUCGACAUCGCCGGAGUGAAGAGGGGGCGAGCGGCGACGGCGGAGCAAGGCCCGCCGGAGUUGCUCAAGAGGCAAUGCGUUCCACUUCCACACGGUCAGCGCUCUCCUGCCCUAGGUGCUUUCGUCUUAUAG